UUUGAAACACUUUGCGGUUUCUCACCCCCACAAGUCAAACCUACUAAAAAACAAUUCACCCCCAAAUUGAAAACCCUCGUCUGCCGCUUAACCCUGCAACCGCUUCGGCGAGCAAAAUCCCCAUCACAAAUUCGAUCGAUCUCAACCUCCGCCGUUCGCCAUCGAGAGCCAGACCACCACCGCUCCAUUUCUCUCUAGCUACUCCUCCCCAGCGACCUCAACAUCAUCAUUGCUGCCAGACAUCUGUUAUUCCUUGCCGCCAUCGUGCUGUAACCACCGAUAUUGUCGUCUCUCUCAUUGAGACUACCGCACUCUCUCUCCUGCUACUCUUUCCCGGCGACCUCAACAUCGUAGCUGUUGCUCACAGCCGCCGUCUCCUUAAUUGAGAAGACCGUGGUUCACCAUUAACAGUUACAGCUCGAUCAAUCCUCUAGCGGGGACCGAUGACUAUUUCUAUUGCUUUGCUCCUGACCACAAUAAGGAAUGUGAGCAUCCACUGGCCCCAAAAGAUAGAAGAUAUGUAAGAGUUGCAAACUUUGGCGCAGGAUUGGUGGUUACAGUUGUGGAUCCAAAACUUGGUGAUAGCAUUAUUGACUGUUGUGCAGCUCCGGGCAGAAAGACUCUUUUCAUGGCCUCAUGUCUAAAGGGCCAAGGUGCAAUGCUGGAGAAUGUGGUAGCAUAAGUGCAGUUGAUGUAAACAAAGGCCGAUUGAAAAUCCUCAAAGAGACACCAAGUUGCAUGAACUUGAUCAAGUUAUCAUUACCAUUCAUGCUGAUCUUCGUGCGCUUGAUAGUAAUUGCUUGAAAGGUGAUAAAAUUCUGCUGGAUGCUCCUUGUUCUGGGUUGGGUGUACUGUCUAAGAUUAUAUUGAGAAAAAGACAUUUUUUCUUGGACUUCAAACGCUUUUUCUCUCAGGUUGGGGAUGCGGUGCUCUUGAAGAGUUUGUUCAAUUCUAGAAAAGCUGUGGCUAAAGGUUGGGUUCGAAGUGUAGAUCCCAAUCACGAUGUUGGAGGAAAACGACUAGGAUUAAAUUGGUGUGAAGUUCAAGUUUUAGUUCCUAUAGAAUGGGAAGAAGAUUUAAUUAGGCCAUAUUCAAACUUGUCCACAAUUGGAGAUGCAAUUGGAGCAUGCAUUGCAUGGCCUCGACACUUGGUGAUCGACGACGAUGAUGAUUGAAGAAGAUUGAUCGUGCUGGCUGCUGUUCUCUUUUUUUGCUGUCUCUUUUUUGGUCUUUGCCACGACAAAAUGAAUGAAUGAAACUUAGUUAUGGUUAUUUCCUCAAAAAUCUUGUGAGUUUUAUUAAGUUUUAACAUGGUUAUAGCUUUGGUGACAUACAAGAGUGGUGGAGCAGAUGUAUUUCAUAAGAUCUUAAAGUUUGUUGUUUUGCAACGAGUUUAGUUGGAAAAUAUAAAUGAAUUUAGCAAUA